GGUGAUUUGGAGGAAGAAAUCUACGUGAUGAACCAAAGGAUUUAAAGUUGCUGGAAAAGAAGGUUGGGUAUGCAAGUUGAGCAAAUCGCUGUAUGAAUUGAAACAAUCUUUAAGAUGACAUGUUACUGCAGGCCGUGGAAUGAAUUCAAAGAAUGGAUUAACUACCUUGUCCGCUGCUGGAUCGAGGCAAGUCUGCGAAUUCUGGGAAUCGGACACGGCCUUCGGAGACACGAUCAAUGACCUUUGCCUGUGAGAUUCAAAUCC